AUUGAACGCUAGCUACAGGCUUAACACAUGCAAGUCGAGGGGUAACGAGAGGAAAGCUUGCUUUCCUUGUCGACGACCGGCGCACGGGUGAGUAACGCGUAUCCAACCUGCCCCCAACUAGGGAAUAACCUUGCGAAAGUAAGACUAAUACCCUAUAAUUUCCUCAGAUGUCAUCUGACGAGGAAUAAAGAUUUAUCGGUUGUGGAUGGGGAUGCGUCUGAUUAGCUUGUUGGCGGGGUAACGGCCCACCAAGGCAACGAUCAGUAGGGGUUCUGAGAGGAAGGUCCCCCACAUUGGAACUGAGACACGGUCCAAACUCCUACGGGAGGCAGCAGUGAGGAAUAUUGGUCAAUGGGCGGAAGCCUGAACCAGCCAAGUAGCGUGCAGGAUGACGGCCCUAUGGGUUGUAAACUGCUUUUAUACAGGAAUAAAGUUAGCCACGUGUGGUUAUUUGUAGGUACUGUAUGAAUAAGGACCGGCUAAUUCCGUGCCAGCCGCCGCAGUAA
rnacentral:rRNA from 1 species